rnacentral:rRNA from 1 species
UAGGGAAUCUUCGGCAAUGGGGGCAACCCUGACCGAGCAACGCCGCGUGAGUGAAGAAGGUUUUCGGAUCGUAAAGCUCUGUUGUAAGUCAAGAACGGGUGUGAGAGUGGAAAGUUCACACUGUGACGGUAGCUUACCAGAAAGGGACGGCUAACUACGUGCCAGCAGCCGCGGUAAUACGUAGGUCCCGAGCGUUGUCCGGAUUUAUUGGGCGUAAAAGCGAGCGCAGGCGGUUUGAUAAGUCUGAAGUUAAAGGCUGUGGCUCAACCAUAGUUCGCUUGGAAACUGUCAAACUUGAGUGC